UCUUGAGAAAGGCAAACCUAUUGAAAAGUAGGGACGCAAAAUUACAGGUCUAAGGCCUUGCUAAGACGGCUGUUUUACCACA
rnacentral:ncRNA from 1 species